CAUGCAGUCGAGGGCACCCAGCAAUGGGUGACCGGCGAACGGGUGCGUAACACCCUUUUCNACCUUCCGUCUUCUGGGGGAUAGCCGGCCCAACGGCCGNGUAAUACCGCAUACGCUCGUUUGAUCGCAUGAUCGGACGAGGAAACUUCUGGGGGAGGACGAGGGGCUCGCGGCCUAUCAGCUAGUUGGGGGGGUAACGGCCUCCCAAGGCGACGACGGGUAGCUGGUCUGAGAGGAUGGCCAGCCACAUUGGGACUGAGAGACGGCCCAGACUCCUACGGGAGGCAGCAGUGGGGAAUCUUGCGCAAUGGCCGAAAGGCUGACGCAGCGACGCCGCGUGUGGGAGGAAGCUCUUCGGGGUGUAAACCACUGUUGCCCGGGACGAACACACAGUUUUGACUGUGCUGACGGUACCGGGUGAGGAAGCACCGGCUAACUCUGUGCCAGCAGCCGCGGUAAUACAGAGGGUGCGAGCGUUGUCCGGAAUCACUGGGCGUAAAGGGCGCGUAGGUGGUGGCUUAAGCGUGCGGUGAAAGCUCGGGGCUCAACCCCGAGUCNGCCGUGCGAACUGGGCUCACUGGAGCAUAGUAAAGGCAGGUGGAAUUCCGGGUGUUNCGGUGGNAUGCGUAGAGAUCCGGAANAACACCGGNGGUCGAAG
rnacentral:rRNA from 1 species